AGUUUGAUCCUGGCUCAGGAUGAACGCUAGCGGGAGGCUUAACACAUGCAAGUCGUACGGUAACGGGUCUUUCGGGAUGCCGACGAGUGGCGGACGGGUGCGUAACGCGUAUGCGACCUACCUUAAGCAGGGGGAUAGCCCAUGGAAACGUGGAUUAAUACCCCAUGGAAUUAUUUAGCUUCAUGGUUAAAUAAUAAAAACUCAGGUGGCUUAAGAUGGGCAUGCGUCUGAUUAGUUAGUUGGUAAGGUAACGGCUUACCAAGGCGAUGAUCAGUAGGGGUCCUGAGAGGGUCAACCCCCACACUGGUACUGAGACACGGACCAGACUCCUACGGGAGGCAGCAGUGAGGAAUAUUGGUCAAUGGCCUGAAGGCUGAACCAGCCAUCCCGCGUGCAGGAAGACGGCCUUAUGGGUUGUAAACUGUUUUUUUACGAGAAGAAAUCUCCCGACGAGAUUGGGAGUUGACGGUAUUGUAGGAAUAAGCAUCGGCUAACUCCGUGCCAGCAGCCGCGGUAAUACGGAGGAUGCGAGUGUUAUCCGGAUUCAUUGGGUUUAAAGGGUGCGCAGGCGGGGAUGUAAGUCAGUGGUGAAAAGCUGUCGCUUAACGACAGUCUUGCCAAUGAUACUGUAUUUCUUGAGUAUGGUUAAGGUAUGCGGAAUGUGCAGUGUAGCGGUGAAAUGCAUAGAUAUUGCACAGAACGUCGAUUGCGGAG
rnacentral:rRNA from 1 species